rnacentral:rRNA from 1 species
CCUACGGGAGACAGCAGUGGGGAAUAUUGGUCAAUGGGCGCAAGCCUGACCCAGCAAUGCCGCGUGAAGGAAGAAGGCUUUCGGGUUUUAAACUUCUUUUACAGGGGAAGAACUUACGACGGUGCCUUGACAACAAGCCACUGCUAACUACGUGCCAGCCGCCGCGGUACUACGUCGGUGGCACGCGUUGUCCGGAUUUACUGGGUGUAACGGGCGUGUCUCCGGGAAGGCAAGUCAGAUGUGAAAGCUGGAGGCUCAACCUCCAAAUUGCAUUUGAAACUGUUUUUCUUGAGUACUGGAGAGGUAGACGGAAUUCCUGGUGUAGCGGUGAAAUGCGUAGAUAUAAGGCAGAACACCAGUGGCGAAGGCGGCCUGCUGGACAGCAACUGACGGUGAGGCGCGAAAGCGUGGGGAGCAAACAGGAUUAGAUACCCCGGUAGUC